rnacentral:tRNA from 1 species
GCGAUUAGCUCAGCGGGAGAGCGCUUCGUUCACACCGAAGAGGUCACUGGUUCGAACC